GACGAACGCUGGCGGCGUGCCUAAUACAUGCAAGUUGAGCGAUGAAGAUUGGUGCUUGCACCAAUUUGAAGAGCAGCGAACGGGUGAGUAACGCGUGGGGAAUCUGCCUUUGAGCGGGGGACAACAUUUGGAAACGAAUGCUAAUACCGCAUAACAACUUUAAACAUAAGUUUUAAGUUUGAAAGAUGCAAUUGCAUCACUCAAAGAUGAUCCCGCGUUGUAUUAGCUAGUUGGUGAGGUAAAGGCUCACCAGGGCGAUGACACAUGGCCGACCUGAGAGGGUGAUCGGCCACAUUGGGACUGAGACACGGCCCAAACGCCUGAGGGAGGCAGCAGUAGGGAAUCUUCGGCAAUGGACGAAAGUCUGACCGGGCAACGCCGGGUGAGUGAAGAAGGUUGUCGGAUCGUAAAAAUCUGUUGGUAGAGAAGAACGUUGGUGGGAGUGGAAAGCUCAUCAAGUGACGGUAACUACCCAGAAAGGGACGGCUAACUACGUG
rnacentral:rRNA from 1 species